GGCGGCGGUCGCCUCACAGCUGUCUCCUCCCCAAGAUGGCGGCGCCACGCUUCAGAGGGAUGCGGUCCCUCAGGGCCUUUCUCGGUGCCAUUGGGCGGCGUUUUGCCAUAAUUAAACGUCUUCCUAAGCACUACACAACGGUGCCACACGGCCCAGCUGUGGUGGCAUGGGUCAGUGUGUGUGCCAAGUGUGCGGGCUACGAGGGCUGUCUCAAAUGGCCACCGGCCCUGCUUCAGCUCCUCCAUCCUGUUGUCUCAGGAGGCCAUCAGGUCUCUGUUUUAACCUGGUUUCACCAACAGAAGCCAUCCUGAAGCAGAAGCCACAGUGCAGAGCUUUCCGUUGGGCUUUGUGCACGCAUCGAAGUUCUGUUCAAACGUAGCAUAGCCAUGUGGCAAGUGCCCCCCGUAUAACAUACUUCAGUGAAACAAAAUAAAUGAGACGGGGAGCACUUAAUACUGGAAGCGCAUGCCCGGAGCGGUUUCACAAACCAGCAGGAUUUGGUGCAGCUCGUGCAUGGGGACGGGACCUCAGGGCCCCCUGCUCCAGCAGCUGCCCUGGCACCGGGCAGAGCUGGCACCGCGCCUGGGAGGCCCCUUGCAGAGGCCGGGCACCAGCUGCUCCUCCUGCACUGCUGGCGGGUGGCUGAGCACAACUGCAUCUCCUGUGGGAUCCAGACAGCCGCCCGGGUUCAUCGGCUGUAGGAGAAGCUCAGACAUGUUUGAUCCAGAAAACUGGAAAGGCCUGGAGUCCUGCAGGGCAGGGCUGUUUCUCCACCAAGACCCCAUCCACCCGCAAGACUCCCAGGUAUUGACAGCACCAGGUCUAAGCUUAACGUCUUCAUCCAGGAGAACAGCUACCGCUCAGUUCAAGGCUUUCGAUUAAGACCUUAAAGCCCUAGCUUAAUGUGCAGCGACCUUGCCUGACCCAUUAAAGAAAACCAAACAGAAAGACUCUCUACAAUCAACAUCUCUGCUGACAUCUUAGACCUUCAACCUUGUUGUUCAGCUGCCUGAUCCCAGGAGACUCCUAGAUGAGGCUUACCUGCUAAUGUAGCCCAGCUGUACGUGCUUCUUUGUCCUAACAAAUUUCUGCAGGAAUCAAGCAGGUUUCUAAUGUUGUUACUGUCUGCCUUAUUUCCUCUUCUAAGAGCUGGUUGCAUAACGCUUCCUAUCAUUCUCACAGAAAAUUCAUCUCUAUAAGACUAUAAGGAGGUGUUCGGGAAUUUUACCCGUAAGGGGAUGUACAUAGAGACUUUAAUAUGCAUAAGUCUUUGGAGCAUUUUCUCCUUAGGAGCAAAUGGGAGAUAUUUAAAUACACAUAAUUCUCUGCUGGGAAGUCAGAAGGCUGAUGUAAGUGGCACAGACUUUAUAGCUGUGAAUGAUGGUGCCGGGACUCCCUCCUGGAACAAUUAUCUGGGGAGACUUCUUACACCUCUACAGCAAAUAGAAUGUAAAUUUGUAAAGUUUUACAUUAAGGCAAUCCAGCAAGUGAAUAUUUAAAUCAGCUCCAACUGAUUUAAAUGGGGCUCAGGAGAGUAAAGAUGGGAAACAUCAAAGACCUUUGGAAAAAAGACAGAUUGAACCUGACUUAAUAGCACUUGCGAUACGCUUCUUGGGCCUGAUCCUGCCCCGCUUCUCCAAAUACCUCCUCCGUGAAACCAGGGGAGCAGAGGAGAAGCAGAUGGCUGUAGAUGAGGUCUGAGGGAGGCUCCGUGUAAUUGUUCCACCGGAGGGAUUGCACAAUCUGAAGGCCCGAAAACCCUUCUGCAGGGAGGCUCCAAUGCCUCUGCUUGGACAAAGGAAUUUGCUGCUGGCUGGUGGGAAACUUUUGAAUCCCCUUAGUGCCUUGCCUGGUGCUUUUUUGCUCUGGCAUGAAAAGAGGCCAGUGCAAUGCAUUUGUCUGCUGCUGAGUCCCCUUGGAUAGCACCGUCUUCUGCUUCUGAUGCAGAGGGCUAGGAAGGCUGAGAAAUCCUGGGAUGUUGAAAUUUUUUUGUCCCUCCAGGGAGAAGAGAUUUGUUCUGUAAGGCUUCCCUGCACCUCCCUGUGCCUCCUCCCAGGAAUGAUAAAGCCCACUUAGCUCCGUGGGCCACCCUGCCUGCUCCUCUCUUCAUUAGCAGCUUGCCGCUGCACCAGGGAUCUUCCAGUUUAAAUAUUGAAUGAUAGUCUUUUAAAAUAUACAUUGGCAGGACUGCUGUAAUUCCAGCCAGGGGCUCCAGUGACACCGGCUGCGGGUUGAUUUGACUGACGAGGGGAAGGACGGGGCUGGUGGCCUGGGCAAGGCUGAUCCCCCCGUCACUGCUGCCCUUUGCCUGCCCUCUGUUCUGACACAAAUCCCGAUGGCAGGGACUCCUUCGUGCCCUAUUUUUACCCAGAUUUGAGGGGUGCUGAUCUGAGGGGCUGGGUUUCCCUCUGUUUUGUCUUCCCUCCCUCGAAUCUCACCUCCCUGAGGAUCUUUCCUCCCCUUUUUGCUGUUUCUCUGCUUGCUCAGUGCAGCCCCGUGUGCGUGCACAGGGCAGACAGCGCUGAUCUUCCCCGAGGCUCGCACCCGCCUGCAGAUGAUGUCCUUGUGGAACAGAUGCAAGCCAGAGGCACGGAAACGGGCAAGCUUCCACGUGCGGGGUUACGGGCUGAAACAACCACUGGCGCUCCAGAUGAACCUCCAAAAAACCCCAGCAACCCAGCGCUUCCCAGUGCAACGCUGCCCACAGCCCCAGAGCAGCUGGGAAGCAGGCUGGGCCCAAUCCCUCAAGGCACCCUGCAGGAUGGGGUUUUCCUACUCCCAGGGAGGAAUUCUCCCCUCUCUCUUUGCCCCAGGCUUUGCACCAGUCCUGGUGUGUCUGCAGGGGAGCUGCCUGAAUGCCAUCAGGACCAGGCUGCCGAGGACACAGGAACAUUCCCAGGCUGGGAUGAUUCACAGGAGGGGCACCCGGCAGGGACUCAAGGACUGCGUCCUCCAGCCUGGUGGGAAGGAUGCUCAGGCCACAGCGAGCCGCUCCUUGGUUGUAGCCUCUCCAGCCCAUGGGAAACCCACAGACAGGGUGACGCUGCAAGCGGAUUUCGUAACUCAGCCAGUGACUAAACAAAAAGGGAGCCUGAGAGACGAAAUGGGAAUGCUGCUCUCCAUCCCUCAUCCUGCCCAGGCUUUGGCCCUGGUGGAAACCAGCCCCAGUUUCCCACUCGCUGCGUUCUGCUGCUAGACCGAUGGCCUCACUGAUGGCCUUGAAACGGAAACUGGAGGAAGACGAGGCCGAAGUUAUUCCUGGAGGCUGAACUCUUGCCAUCUGCCUAGUGUGGAGCAGGGUUUGCGCCUGGGACUCUCAUGGGGCUGGUGGGCAACAGCUCCAGGCCCCUCACAUUGACAUCGUUCCUCUAAUAACGCUGAUAAAGUGAAAUUCAGGGCCAUGAAUGCAGCCAUUCACGGGUUUAAAAAAUGAAAGAAAAGUUUUUCCUUUCACUUCUAAGGCCAUCGGGCUUCUUAGUUUUAGAAAUGCCGUUUGUGCAUGCACACAUGUAGAACGAUGUGUCAGAAACAGGCAUAAGAAGAUUAAAAAAAGAAAUCUCCAACGCUGAAGUUAAAGCACUUAAGGAAUUGGCAGAGACUUCAAGAGCCGGUGUCUGGUCCUAAUGAAGUUGGUGGAAGUGCUGCCAUGGACUUCAAGGGGACUGUAAUUUGGCUGUAACUCAGUAGGAAGCUGAAGGUGUUGAUUAAUAAAUUGGAGACAAUGCAGAGGAAAGCUGCUAAACUUCUUUCCAACAGAUGUGCUGAAGAGGAGCCUGCAAGUCAAAAUAUGCAGGAAAGGAACUGGUUUCCACUCUAUUUGCAAACAGAACACAGGGAAAAAAAAAUAGCUGUCUGAUAUUCAUGUAAAACGGUGGAACUGGUAUUAAUAAAUAUGAAUGUAUUUAUGAGCA